GACGAACGCUGGCGGCGUGCUUAACACAUGCAAGUCGAACGGAAAGGCCUGCUUUCCCUUGUGGAUUGCGGGUACUCGCGUGGCGAACGGGUGAGUAACACGUGAGUGAUCUGCCCCCAACUUGGGUAUAAGCCUGGGAAACUGGGUCUAAUUCCCGAUAGGACUGCAGGGUGGUGCCUGUGGUGGAAAACGAUUUUCUAGUGGUUGGGGAUGAGCUCGCGGCCUAUCAGCUUGUUGGUGGGGUAAUGGCCUACCAAGGCGGCGACGGGUAGCCGGCCUGGGAGGGUGGACGGCCACAGUGGGACUGAGAUACGGCCCAGACUCCUACGGGAGGCAGCAGUGGGGAAUAUUGCACAAUGGGCGGAAGCCUGAUGCAGCGACGCCGCGUGGGGGAUGACGGCCUUCGGGUUGUAAACUCCUUUCGACCGCGAGGAAGCCACCUGGUUGGAAGGGUGGUGACGGUAGUGGUAGAAGAAGCACCGGCUAACUACGUG
rnacentral:rRNA from 1 species